rnacentral:rRNA from 3 species
AGACCCGAAACCCGGUGAUCUAGCCAUGGGCAGGUUGAAGGUUGGGUAACACUAACUGGAGGACCGAACCGACUAAUGUUGAAAAAUUAGCGGAUGACCUGUGGCUGGGGGUGAAAGGCCAAUCAAACCGGGAGAUAGCUGGUUCUCCCCGAAAGCUAUUUAGGUAGCGCCUCGUGAAUUCAUCUCCGGGGGUAGAGCACUGUUUCGGCUAGGGGGCCAUCCCGGCUUACCAACCCGAUGCAAACUGCGAAUACCGGAGAAUGUUAUCACGGGAGACACACGGCGGGUGCUAACGUCCGUCGUGAAGAGGGAAACAACCCAGACCGCCAGCUAAGGUCCCAAAGUCAUGGUUAAGUGGGAAACGAUGUGGGAAGGCCCAGACAGCCAGGAUGUUGGCUUAGAAGCAGCCAUCAUUUAAAGAAAGCGUAAUAGCUCACUGGUCGAGUCGGCCUGCGCGGAAGAUGUAACGGGGCUAAACCAUGCACCGAAGCUGCGGCAGCGACGCUGAUGCGUUGUUGGGUAGGGGAGCGUUCUGUAAGCCUGCGAAGGUGGCCUGUGAGGGUUGCUGGAGGUAUCAGAAGUGCGAAUGCUGACAUAAGUAACGAUAAAGCGGGUGAAAAGCCCGCUCGCCGGAAGACCAAGGGUUCCUGUCCAACGUUAAUCGGGGCAGGGUGAGUCGACCCCUAAGGCGAGGCCGAAAGGCGUAGUCGAUGGGAAACGGGUUAAUAUUCCCGUACUUGGUGUUACUGCGAAGGGGGGACGGAGAAGGCUAUGUUGGCCGGGCGACGGUUGUCCCGGUUUAAGCGUGUAGGUGUGUGUUCCAGGUAAAUCCGGUUCACUUUAACACUGAGGCGUGACGACGAGGCACUACGGUGCUGAAGCAACAAAUGCCCUGCUUCCAGGAAAA